rnacentral:rRNA from 1 species
AUUGAACGCUGGCGGCAGGCUUAACACAUGCAAGUCGAGCGGGGGAAGGUAGCUUGCUACCGGACCUAGCGGCGGACGGGUGAGUAAUGCUUAGGAAUCUGCCUAUUAGUGGGGGACAACACCUCGAAAGGGAUGCUAAUACCGCAUACGUCCUACGGGAGAAAGCAGGGGACCUUCGGACCUUGCGCUAAUAGAUGAGCCUAAGGCGGAUUAGCUAGUUGGUGGGGUGAAGGCCUACCAAGGCGACGAUCUGUAGCGGGUCUGAGAGGAUGAGCCGCCACACUGGGACUGAGACACGGCCCAGACUCCGACGGGAGGCAGCAGUGGUGAAUAUUGGACAAUGGGGGGAACCCUGAUCCGGCCAUGCCGCGUGUGUGAAGAAGGCCUUAUGGUUGUAAAGCACUUUAAGCGAGGAGGAGGCUACUUUAGUUAAUACCUAGAGAUAGUGGACGUUACUCGCAGAAUAAGCACCGGCUAACUCUAUGCCAGCCGCCGCAGUAA